rnacentral:rRNA from 1 species
GAUGCGACCUCAGCUCAGGCGGGGCCACCCGCUGAGUUUAAGCAUAUCAAUAAGCGGA